GGCACUAUAGCCAAGUGGUUACGGCGACAGAUUCGAAUGCUUAAUGUGUUAUCUGUUCCUCUCUGAGGGCGCAGGUUCAAAUCCUGCUGGUGUCG
rnacentral:tRNA from 2 species